rnacentral:rRNA from 1 species
UGGGGAAUAUUGGACAAUGGGCGCAAGCCUGAUCCAGCCAUGCCGCGUGAGUGAUGAAGGCCCUAGGGUUGUAAAGCUCUUUCACCGGUGAAGAUAAUGACGGUAACCGGAGAAGAAGCCCCGGCUAACUUCGUGCCAGCAGCCGCGGUAAUACGAAGGGGGCUAGCGUUGUUCGGAUUUACUGGGCGUAAAGCGCACGUAGGCGGACUAUUAAGUCAGGGGUGAAAUCCCGGGGCUCAACCCCGGAACUGCCUUUGAUACUGGUAGUCUUGAGUUCGGGAGAGGUGAGUGGAAUUCCGAGUGUAGAAGUGAAAUUCGUAGAUAUUCGGAGGAACACCAGUGGCGAAGGCGGCUCACUGGCUCGAUACUGACGCUGAGGUGCGAAAGCGUGGGGAGCAAACAGG